GGCUGGAUAGCACAGUGGUCAGAGCGUUGAAUUGUAAUCGGUAAGCCCCGAGUUCGAUUCCCCGGGCUUGUCU